GCUUCUGGGUUGUUUGAGAAAAGUUUCAGUCAUUUAGUUAAUCAACAAAUAUUUCAGUAUAUAUUUCUAGAAGACAAAGACUCUUUAUAAAAAACAUGACAUGACCCUAAUUUUAUUAUCACCUCUAAAAAGUAAACGUUAGUCCAUAAUUUCACCAAUGUCAACAUUUCUUCAGUGAUCAGCAGUUUUCCACCUGUGCAGGAUGUUAGGGGCUAGGGCCCACAGGUGGCAAACAGCUCGCCAUUAGCUUCUGUAUUUUGCUUGCCCGCUUAGGAGAGUGGCAAUUUUCAGCUGACCCUUAUCUGACUCCGCACCUGCCAUCCGCCUCUGCUAGUCUGAUUCAGUUUAGAAACUAAGGAGAAGGGCGGUGGUGCAUGGCACAGCGGCCCACAGGAUAUAGCUGCUAGUCCAGGGACCCUUGGACCCCUGAGGCGCCCGACUUGCUUCAUGUACCUAGUGAAAUCGCUGGGACUUAGAUCACAGGAUGCAGGAUGUAUUUCAACUAAGAUUAAAGUCGUAAUUAGGGUACUUCAGAGGCGUCCUCUCGGCUGAAUCUUAGCUGCAGCCGGUAACUCCUACAAAACCCAUCUCAAGGCUCCGAACUCCCUCCUCACAUUGUGCUAAAACAAGACAAAAUUGUAGGAUUAAGGCUUUCUCUUGCUUUUGUAAAAGUGCUUGCUCAUUAGAUUCUUAGACUGCCGUUUCUGCCUUUAAGAAGGGGCUGUUUUUCCUAGCUCACGGCUCCUUUCUGUGCCUGCCACUCUGCAGGGCAGAAGGAGUCCUGGCCGGCUAAUAAAGACUCGCAAUUUGAGCCAAUUCGGUUGCUAAGGUGGUCUUUUCUUGCACUCCGGACCACAACACAGGACUUAACGAAACAAAAAUAGAGUCUUAAACUGUAUCAGGAAGCGUCACAGCUAAGACAGAACACAAAGAAGAGACUAUUUGACGUAAAAGUGAGACGUUAAGCGCACUGUGAUCUCAUUUGCUGUGGUUUCGCUCGGCCUCAUCCGUUUCAGCAGGCAGGGUGCAAACCUGCUCCCAAAUUGCGUCAGCUGCUGGCUUUCAAAUGAACAACGUAGUCAUGCGCUUUGAUACGUUUACCGGGACUGGUAUUACAUGUAUGCGACUUCUGUAUUUGCUUAAAAUACCCACGUUUCCAGAAAGUUACUGAGGAAUGGUGUGAACAGCCGGCUCAGUGACAGGCCUAUGGGGAGACAACUUUGUUUGGGGGACAUGGGAGAGCUCGUUUAGAGACGGAAGAUUGGAGAACCAGACUAGGAAACACAACUGGGGACAUUCAAGCGGUCAGACUUGGCAGAGUCCAGCUGCCCGAGUAACAGUGGGCGCGUGUUGGGUCCCGCCCCGCCGAGGCCGGCACCCAGAGAGCGCACACCCAGGCCGGCGUUCAGCUCCACCUUCCGCAAAACCCGAACGGUAAAGGGUACAUCAGGCUACCGAAAAGUCACACAGGACCGCGCAGGUGGCGUUGCAUCUUCUAGGACCUCUCUGUCUGGCUCAGCUUCUCGUGGCAUGGUGGUCUCUCGGUGACUGGCCCGGCGGCUGGUUCCCAAGAGACAGGAAGGGGAAGCUGUCCCCCCAGAAGCCAAGCGGGCUGCUGCCUGAAGCUCCUCAGGAAAGGACUGCGGCAGCGGCAGAGACGUGGAGCGAGGUCCACUGAAGGUCGCUCUGAUGUUCUCGAGGGCCUCACUGAACUUACGAAAAUAAUAAAAUUUCUGAAUGGGGCAGCGUGGAGAAACCCUAACAGAAAUAGCAUAAGAGCAUUUUGGAACAUAUCCAGGAAAAGAUAACUUUCGACCCACCUGUAGACAUUCGCCAGGUAAAGACCCAGAGGCAUUGUGCAAAGACUACAUUAUCUACCUCUGUGCACCCAAUGCCCCAACACCUGGAUCACUCUAAGGGGAUUGCCUCCAGCAUCAAGCAAUGGAAACUCUUCAGUUCAAAUCCAAUAGCUAUUAGGGAAGAAACUACAGUUACUGACUUGAGUUGAAGAAGCAUCUGCUUAAUGUCUGGUCAAAGCCUACAAGAAAUACAGAAAUCUAUGGUUAAGAAGCUGGGCGCUUCCAUAUACUGCAAAGGGUAAAAGGCAGGACGAUCAGAAGUCUUCUGCAAGGAAGAAUGAAUUUCAAGAUUUCUCACUAAAUCAGACAAAGACAUUUAGUCCCUCUGACGGAGCAGGGCAAACUGAGUUGGCAUACCAAUUACCUGGAGAAAGAGAGAGAUGGAAGCAGAGGCUGAAGAUAAAACGCCGUGUAUUCGCUCUAAAGGAACCGAGGUGCCAGUGGAUUGUUUAAUCCAGGAACUCAGGUAAGAUUCGCCCCACAUUACUUUUCUCAUGUUGAGUGGUGUUGGUUAUUAGAACGGUUUAUGCUUGGUAACCUUAGACUCCUGGCUUAGCGUAAGGAGAGCAGGGGCAGGCGCAGGCCACCUUUCCGCUCGGCUCUGCCCCGCGCCGAGGAAGCAGAGGAGAGCAGCUGUGUGGCAUGCCAGCCCGGGAGGUCCCAGACCCGCCACUGGGCUCGCCUUUCUGAAAGCACACUGGUCCG